rnacentral:rRNA from 1 species
UACAGAGGUCUCAACCGUUGUUCGGAUUCAUUGGGCGUAAAGGGUGCGUAGGCGGCGCGGUAAGUCGGGUGUGAAAUCUCGGAGCUUAACUCCGAAACUGCAUUCGAUACUGCCGUGCUUGAGGACUGGAGAGGAGACUGGAAUUCAUGGUGUAGCAGUGAAAUGCGUAGAGAUCAUGAGGAAGACCAGUGGCGAAGGCGGGUCUCUGGACAGUUCCUGACACUGAGGCACGAAGGCCAGGGGAGCAAACGGG